rnacentral:rRNA from 1 species
UGCGGUCAAGCUACUAAGGGUACAUGGUGGAUGUCUUGGCGUGACGAGGCGAUGAAGGACGUGGUAGGCUGCGAUAAGCCCAGGGGAGCUGUCAAACGAGCUUUGAUCCUGGGAUCUCCGAAUGGGGCAACCCGUUUCCGAUGAAUAGUCGGAUUCGCCGGCAGAUGAAUGCAUAGUCUGCCAGGAGCCAACGCAGGGAACUGAAACAUCUCAGUACCUGCCGGAAAGGAAAUCAACCGAGACUCCGUCAGUAGCGGCGAGCGAACGCGGAAAAGCCCAAACCGGCCUUCGGGCCGGGGUUGCGGGCGCCAAUCAGGAGUUACAAAGGCAACGGUAGCCGAGGUGUCUGGAAAGGCACACAAUACAGGGUGAUAGUCCCGUAGGCGACGCCGUGAGCCCUCCGUUACGGUUGGCGUACCAGAGUAGCACGGAGCUCGUGGAACUCCGUGUGAAGCUGGGGGGCCCACCCUCCAAGGCUAAGUACUACGUCACGACCGAUAGUGGACAAGUAUGGCGACUGAAUGAUGAAAAGAACCCCUACUAGGGGAGUUAAAAGUACCUGAAACCAUGUACCUACAAUUUGUCGGAGCCCUAUGCCCCGCAAGGGGAAUGGGUGACGGCGUGCCUUUUGCAUAAUGAACCGGCGAGUUACCGUUUGUGGCUAGGCUAAGCCUCUCAGGGGCGGAGCCGAAGGGAAACCGAGUCUGAAUAGGGCGACCAUGUCGCAGGCGGUAGACGCGAAACUGCGUGAUCUACCCAUGGCCAGGUUGAAUCCCGAGUAAAAUCGGGAGGAGGACCGAACUCACUAGCGUUGAAAAGCUAGGGGAUGAGCUGUGGGGAGGAGUAAAAGUCUAAUCAAACGCAGAGAUAUCUCGUUCUCUCCGAAAUAGUUUUUGGGCUAGCCUCGGACGCAUUGCACGACGGGGGUAGAGCACUGGAUGAAACGCGGGGUCUACCCGACUACCGCCUUCAACCAAACUCCGAAUACCGUCGUGUGUACCCCGGGAGUCAGACUACGAGGGAUAACCUUCGUGGUCGAGAGGGAAACAACCCAGAUCGCCGGCUAAGGUCCCCAAACCAUGCUAAGUGACUAAGGAAGUCGAACUGCGGCAACAGCCAGGAUGUUGGCUUAGAAGCAGCCACCAUUUAAAAAGUGCGUAAUAGCUUACUGGCCGAGCAAUUCGGCGCCGAUAAUGAUCGGGACUAAGCAUGGUACCGAAGCCGCGGAUCCCGCAAGGGAUGGUAGGAGAGCGUAGCUGUCGGCGAUGAAGGCGUACCGUAAGGAGCGCUGGAGCGGCAGCUAGUGAGAAUGCCGGUAUGAGUAACGA